AUCAUCUCAUUUCAGCUGUAGGACUUACGGUUUUGGAUUUAGAAGCCCAGGAGCGACAAGCACGCCUGAAUGUUCCCCAUAAGCGGCAAUGUUAAUUUUGAGCCCAAAUUUCUGGAGGAUCGCAGACGGUACAUGUUUUGUCUCUCGCUCCUGUGCCCUCAUUAUGCACUCUACAGAAAUAAAAAUAACAUGGGUGCGUUCAGCAAUGUCUCCUGUCACUCAACAUACAGCAUGUUUUGGCAAUAACUAUAACAGUUUUCUCAAGAAUCGCAGGAGUUUGGGAGGCACUUCCGCAUUCAUUCCUUAUGGGGACAUUUUCGUCUGUAUUUCUGCUCCUGCUGCAGCAUGUCUGCAGCCAUUUGAAGCUCUUUCUGCCUUUAACUUCUCACCUGUCAGGGCUGCAGACAUGCUGCAGCAGGAGCAGAAACAAAGACGAAAAUGUCCCCAUAAGGAAUGAAUGGGAAAAUGUCUCCCAAACUCCUGCGAUUUUUGGGAAAACUGUUAUAGUUAUCGGCAAAACAUGCAACAUGUUGAGUUACAGGAGACAUUGCUGAACGUACUCAUGUCAUUUAUAUUUCUGUAGAGUGCAUAAUGAGGGCACAGGAGCGAGAGACAAAACAUGUACCGUCUGCGAUCCUCCAGAAGUUUUGGCUCAAAAUUAACAUUGCGCCUUAUGGGGAACAGGAAAAAUCUCUUUCCCGUGAUGGCGCCUCAGAGGAAAUGGCUGCAGACAACGUCUGGGGGUGGGGAGUGGUUGACUGUGUUUGAAUAUAGUUGUCUGUAGGGGAUAACUAACUCUCUCCUGCUCUGCAGCCGUCUAGUAGUGCUAAAUCUUUAAGUUUUGUUAUACCAGCUAUUCUCAGCUGUUUUCCCCCCUACAUUUAAAUUCAUUUGGACAAGACAAUUUUCAUCUGAAGUACCAAUGGAGUCUCUAAAUGGUGAGUUAUUAUUUCAUUAUCCUAUUUCAUUAUCCUAUUUCUAAUAAGGUGGUUUUAAUGGUUCUGUUGAUCUUAGGAUAAUGUUUUGCAUACUGUUUUAAAGGUUUUGUUUAUUAGGUCACUUGGUGGGUGCUGUGUUGGAUGUUGAGGAAAACCCUGAUGCUGACAACCAAGGCUAGUCUUUAAUAUCACUCAUUUAUGUUAGAAUUUAUUCAAUUUACAAUUUGUUUUAAAUUGAUUUCUUUACCUUCUUUUGUACAGUUUUCAGGGAGAAACACGGUGCCCUGGUGACAUCAUUAGUGCAGAGCGAAAAAAACUUGAUGAUCAGAUAGCUGUUUGGAAACAGAGAACUAUUGGGGAGGAUCAAAAAGGUCUUGAUGGUAAAACAGUGUUUUUUUAUGCUUAAAUAGAAAUUGUCAAUAUGUCGUCAGUUUAUAUUAAUCAUUUAUAAAAAAAAAAAUUCUGCUAAUAUGUAUAGAUUGCCCUCCCCCUCAUAAAAAAAUCAAAAGUCUGGAUUGUGCUAAAACCUCUGGCAAGAAGUCAUUAUUGAGCCGAAAACGUCGUGGGAUUAAGAGCCGUCAAACUGAUAAUGAUGCAACGUAUGUAACAACUAUUUGUUAGUAGCAUGAAUUAACAGUCAUAGUGUGUGUUAUUAUAAUUAUUAAUAUACUUGAAAUAAAUGUUAUUGUUGAUUCUAAUUUUUUCCUAACUUUAUCGCGUUAUCACAGGUCGGGGAACGGUGUAUGGCAACCGUUAGACAUUCCUCAGAAGUCGCAGUUCUUUCCCCCGAGAGAAGUGGAUGAGGCAGUGCAGGCACUCGUGCAGCUAAACACAACGCCGAGGGACGAGCCCCAGUUACCCGCUGGAUAUGUGGUUGCCUCUUCCCAAACAGGUGUUGUAGAAAAUGAUGUGUAUGACAAUGAUAUUUUUAUUGUAAGCCCUCGGUCCAUUACACCUGAUGAACAAAUAUCAGCAGAUGUAUUGUCGCUACUGGCCGCUACAGUUAGCAAUAUACAAUCAUCCCCGGUAGGGAGUCCUAAUAGCAGUGUGAUCAGU
ensembl:lncRNA